GGCAGGCUCGGCGCCUGCCCGGGCUGGGAGCGGCGGGGGGCCAGGCCCGCCCGGGGCUCCCCACUCACCCCCCAGCUCUGCUCCCGACCCUCAGGAGGACGCAGGUGUUGGUGAGGCUGGGACAGUUCAGAGCCUCCCCCCCCCCCCGCUCUCCGGGGGGGCAGCUCCGGGAGCGACCCUACAAUAACAGCGCCACCGAGACAGAACAAGCAGCCCGAGGAGGAGCCUGGCCAGCCGGACCCUCUGCGUCCCACUCCAAUCCUCACACCCACGUCCCUAGCCUGCUGUUCCGGGCCUCGAGCCGGCUGUGGUGGCCACGCAAUAGGUGCAGCAUUAAUGUCUGGGAGAGGCAGGAGACUGGCUGGCGUUCCGUUCUUGACUCUGCCACUGACCUUUGGCAAAUCACUGCUUCUCGCUGGGCCUCAGUUUCCCUGUCUGUCCUAUGGGGGUGAUGUUGCUGACCUCCUUCGUAAAGUGUUUUGAGAUCUGUGGAUGACAAGUGCUGUUGUUAUUCUCAAAGAUGGCGCACUGGACUGCCCUGCUCUGGCAUGAGUUCCUUCCUAUAUGCAGCACAGAGCCAUUUGCUAGACUGGGGUCCUUCCUCGGCUGUCUAUUCUGCAGUUCCUGCUGGAGGAGACGCUUGAUCCACAAACCCAGACACCUCCACACCAAGGAAGCGCCUCCUAAAAUGCUGAUGCUGCAUGGAAACAGGAGAAUUAACCUGUGUGAGUCCCCACUGGUCACCUCUUCCUCACUUGGCUGCAUGUUAUUCUGCUGAGGCUGUAACUCUCCAGUGCUCAGUGAGGGGAGUAGGGAGAGCCAGCCAUGCGCUGUCACAGCGCAGUGAUCAGAACCAGGGCCGGAUUUAGGUGCAGGCGACCGCAUGGGGUGCUGGGCUUGGGGGGGCUGUUUUUGUUGUUAGUGACAAAAGGGAAAAUAGAACGUUUGAAGUAAAAUGUUCCAGGUAUUCCGUGUGUGGAUUCAUUUUUCACUAACCUCCUAGAAUGUUCUGGACUUCUGUAGAAUCUCGUGGAACCUUCCAAACUUUCUGAGAACUACAUUUUCCUCGAACCUCCAAGAACGUUGUCAGCCCAGCCCUCCCGGGGACUUAAGGGGCGUGGCGUCGCCAGUCAGUCAGUGAGAUACAAGAAUGAAGUGACAGCCCAGCCGCGAUAUAGUGAACCUUGCUUUAUUGUGUAACUGUGAAAGUGUAUUUGUUUUAAGUCUUGAAGAGUAUAAGUAGCGCCUAAUAAAGGACAUAUUUAAUGAGA